AAGGAAUAUUGGUCAAUGGACGCAAGUCUGAACCAGCCAUGCCGCGUGAAGGAUGAAGGUCCUCUGGAUUGUAAGCUUCUUUUAUCUGGGACGAAAACGGGAUUUUUAUCUCAAUUGACGGUACCAGAGGAAUAAGCACCGGCUAACUCCGUGCCAGCAGCCGCGGUAAUACGGAGGGUGCGAGCGUUAUCCGGAUUUACUGGGUUUAAAGGGUGCGUAGGUGGGCUUAUAAGUCAGUGGUGAAAUCUCCGAGCUUAACUUGGAAACUGCCGUUGAUACUAUAGGUCUUGAAUUAUCUGGAGGUAAGCGGAAUAUGUCAUGUAGCGGUGAAAUGCUUAGAUAUGACAUAGAACACCAAUUGCGAAGGCAGCUUACUACAUAUAAAUUGACGCUGAGGCACGAAAGCGUGGGGAUCAAACA
rnacentral:rRNA from 1 species